rnacentral:lncRNA from 1 species
CAGCUUUGUAACUAGAUUUAACUUCCAAGUCCUCAGUGGAAUCAUCGAUGGCUGAUGAAGAUUUAAUCUCAACUGAGUCAGAACUUUUUAGCUCCGCCACUGGUAACUGAUCAACAAAACAGGUUUCCUCUGCAUCUUCAUCUUCAUCUUUAAGUAACUCAUAGACAUCAAUAAUUUCAAUCUCCUUUGAAUCAGUUCUUUCUCCUACUUCUUUUCCACCGUCUGCAUCACCGUCAUUGCUCGUCUCCUCCCAUUCUCCUCCGCGUCUAAAACCUGCAGCCUCGUCUUGAUAGUGUCUACAGGCAUAGUUAUCAAAGCUGAGCAACCGCUCGCUGUGGCUGCACUCAGCGCUUGAACCGCCACUGAGCCACGAGCAUCUUCCUUGUGGCCAUGUGGACCUUUGAACCGAGACCAAAUCUUCUUCUGAGACAAAGAAUAAGACGCCCACCAGACAGCGUUGGAAGGCGCGUAAGUCAAGAUAGAGAGACCAAACCCUCUGUAGAACCCUCUCGGUCCAUCACUGUAAAGAAUCUUUCUAAAAGCAUCAAACCCAUUAGCGUACCUACAAGAACUGAUCACUCCAGGGACAUGCUUAUUCAACGACAAAUCUCCUUGAACCAUAAGCCGCUGGCUCACAACAUCAAUCGGUGUCCAGACAACCUGAGCAGCCACUGCCGAGGCCAAACCGGCCGCACCGUUGGAAACAGCCAUAGACGUUGUAUCAGACAAACCUAACCUAACAGUUGCUUGGCCUACACUACUCUUGGUGAUCUCCAGAGCCGUCAUGUAGAGAGCACGAGCCGGGAUGGUUCCAAGCAAAGACGUACCAAAGCCCUUGUAGAACCCUUUAAGACCCUCGAGCCUAGCGAUGGCCAAGGAGAUGUUGGCGCAGGAGACACGCGUCGGUGAGACUUGUUGCCGUGUCUUGAGGACGACGAUAGGGUAAAGAGCGGUGGAUACACCGGAGAAGAGAGCAGCUCCGAGGAAGAAGAACCUCGACUUAUCAAGCAUUUGCCAGUCUACUUCUUUGGACAUGUAUACCUGAGAAGAAGUUGAUCUUGCUCUCUUCUCACUCAUCAAAGCACCUAAACUCAUUUUCAACUUAAUCUUUUUUUUUUACUUCAGUUAUCAAGUGACUUCACUAAGAAAGAGAGAUGUAUUCUUGUGAGUGACCGACCUUAAAACAUGGAAGCUCUAUUGAUUCGCUAGUGUUAUGAAAUAUAUCAUGUGGAGAAGAGAGAGGAGUAGAUAUAAACCAGUAGAAUGGGGAAGAUCUCUGUGGAUUUAUUAGCUUAUAAAACUGUGAACUCGAUAGAGAAUAUAUAUUUUAUAUAAAAAUAGAAGGGAGCCAAAACGAUGGGUCGUAUUGGAUAACACGAGGUUAGUGGCCUUUAACAGACUCAAAAGGGUGGGCGAGAGAGAGAGAGAGACAUGGGAAGGAGGAUGAUUGGACAAGUGGCGAAUUGUUAUUGGUUAACGUUGGUGAGACUAGCCGCUAUUGAGGUUAACAUUGGCUUCUUCUGUUGGGUCGUCCACUUGUUUCAUCAUUCUAUGGGUGUCCACAUUUUUUUUAAUUCAGUCUUAUUCAGUCACAUUUAUUUUCUUUGUUGCCGCUUUCUGUGGGUUUCUCAUUUAACUUUUUGAGAAAUAAAUUGUAUUCUAAUCGACAAUUUGCUGUAUAGUUUUAUAAAAAGAGAGAUUAGUUACAUUAGAAUCUCUGUGUGUUGGUCAACAAAGCGAUGAAGAAUCCUUUCGUUGUCCUCGACCGGAUCCAUCAUGAGUAAAUAUGUUCAGCUGCAAUCCAAAGGCAAUGUGAUCUUGUUAGAAAACCUUAAGUCAACUCUGUGUUUGAUGCUAUAAUAGCAACAAUAACCUUACUAAUGGUUCAUCGAGAUUCACAAUAAAAUAAUAUAUGGCACUAGAAAAUGUACAAUAUGCACAUGAGACGUAAUAGUAGUCUACUGCUAUAGUAAAUUGUGGACCAUGGAUAAAUAUUUGCUUUUACCAACAUGAUACACGUAUGUAACUCACAAGAGAGUGCAUGGCUCAUGGAGUUAUAGUUCUUGUUAUCUACAUGGAAAACUACUGUCUUAAAGGUUCCAGUCACUACGUAACAUAACACACACUUCAGUUAAAACCUGAUGAAUGGAAAGGUCCAAAUGAUUUGUAAUGGUUCCAAAGCCAGAACUAAAUGGAUCCAACAAUAUAGCUCGAACCUGUGACGAUAACCAGCCACACGCAAAGAUAUAGAACAUUGGCUUAAAUGACUGCAUCUGCUUAUGCUACAGCUCUAGACAACAAUACCAGAUUGUUAUUGUUCAUUUCAGAGAGUGAUUCUCUUCACGGAUCACGGUAGACUAUCAAAACAAAAGAAUGAAGAAAAUUGGACUCCGACAAUACAGAUCCUAAAAUAGAUAGCCAAUACCACAGACUGAGUAAUGUUAACCUUUGCAAAGACUUCAAUACCUACUUCUUAGGGUUAAGAAAAGCAAUCAUGUCAUGAGAUUUGUUCUUCUAUUCCAUGUAAAUUCAAGUUACAUGGAACAAAACCAUCGAACAAAUUCUGAUAAAUAUAUACAUGAAAAAGGGCAAGGGAAGGAUACUGGUAGCACCAGGCCAGCUUAAUAGUCAGUUCCAAACGCUUUACUCGUUCUUGAUGUAGCUCGCGUGCCAUGAUUUGUCCUUGUCCUUUCAUAAGAGCAGCAAUAUUAAUUGUUUUGUUUCCUGGAGCUGAACAGGCAUCAUGAACUUUCACAAAAGAGGCAACAUGUAGCAUGGCAACUUAGAAAAUAAGAGUAUUUAACAAUCCUCAUGACAACCACCAAACUGAAAAUGUGGAAAAAUGUGCGUGAGAACUGUGGGCUACCUCCAAACCUGCUUCUGGCUGCAUGCAGUGCUGCUGCUAACCAUUGAACUUGCCUUUCCCUAUCAUUCCAAGGAAUGAAAACUCAGCAAGAUAAACUAUAUAUCAAACAUAAUUUACAAAGAUCAUUCACCGUUUACAUACAGAAAUAAAUGUCCAAUCAUAGCCAAAUGAUGAGCAUGCAAAUCUGUGUCAGGGGGCAUCAUCAACAAGUAAGUAACUAUCUCAUCCUUCUGCACUUAUUUUCAUAUAAACAAAAAUGAAAUCUGGAAACAAAGAACAGACUGUGAACAUCACAGAACGGACCCUUCACACCUGUUGUUACACCUAUCCAAGAUUAAAACUUGACUAACCAAAAUUAAAAAAAUCUAGAUAUCACGCAUAUGGACAAAUCUUAUAAUAUAUAUGUAUUACUCCUUAUUCAAUUCUUAUAACUAAAAAAGAAAUACAUAUGACCCCGCCUUAGACUGCAUAAGUUACUACUACUUAGUAGGGUGUAAGAUGUAAAAAGUAGGAAAGAUGGAGAAUCUCUACCCAACAAAGUCUGCUUGACUUGAAAAUUCAACAGCCUAAUUCAUAAGAGUAAGUCUUUUAUAUCUUUUAUAUUUCAUUUCAGCCAAGUAUGUCUCUAUCGCUUCAAAAUAAAUUGGUAUUUUGAUUCUCAGUGAUGGUACUUUAUAUACCGUAACUUAAGCCUAAGUCCUUGCACGAGAAGACUUAUGAAAAGACUUGAAAGAAGACUAGGACAAAAUAAAUUAAUAAAAAAAGAGUAGUCGUGGACCAAGACACAAGUCAACCACAGGUCUUUGUAAGACUUAAAGCUAGUUUGAAAGCAUCCAUCUUCUUAUGUAUCUGUACCUUCAACAAGUACACGUUUCUACAUAUUAUAUAUUUAUUAUACAUUUACCUUGAAGCUUCCUUUCUAAGGUUAAGUCUUCAAAACCCGGAAAAAGAAAGAUUUAUUUUGAAAACAUAUAGGCACUACUCACACAUUCUUGUGUAUGCAUAAAUAGCUAUGAAUGAUGCAGAGACAAACUUGGGGAGGAGGUUCAGCGAUGAUACUUACUCAGGUUUCGACCUUCCGGAUCUGUACUUGUCAGAUGAAUGGAUGGACGAUGAUCUUGUCUCUGCGGUUUCAGGGAUGAAUCAUUCUUAUGGUUAUGAGACCAGUGAUAGUGCUCAUGCUGCUGCCUUCUUCUCAGGUUCCUCUAGCGGUUACGGUCAUCCCGAAUCUCCAUGUACCAACGCUUCUGUUGCCGCUGCUACACCCACCGCUUCUGCCGGUAAGUUUAUCAGUCAACAUAUAUAAACUCCUUUAAAACAUGCGUCCUUGAGGGUUUCAUAAACCUGAUGCGUCAGAGAACUAGACCAUUAGAUGGCUGGUUCAAAGAUAGUUUUUGAAAAGCAUAGACAUAUUAGGACUUAAACCAAAGAACUUUUAGGUGAAUCAAAACGGUAUUUACAGGUCAUCUUCUGCUGAUACUGUUUUUCUUUUUUCCUAUUGACUUAUGCAAGAAAAACAGAUUAAGAAGGAAAAGAAGAAAGUAAAAGAGAGAGUUGCAUUCAAGACACAGUCUGAAGUAGAAGUGCUUGACGACGGGUUCAAGUGGAGAAAGUAUGGGAAAAAGAUGGUGAAGAACAGCCCAAAUCCCAGGUGGGGAACAACACUUUCAUACUCCAAUAUUAAAUGAGCAUACCAAAUAUGAGAAACCAAAAUAAAAAAUAGGAAUGUACCUCUUGCUGAUUGUAAUGAUUUUCAUGUAAUUUGCAGAAACUACUUCAAGUGUUCAGCUGAUGGCUGUCCCGUGAAGAAAAGGGUUGAACGAGAUGGAGAUGAUCCGAGCUUUGUGAUAACAACUUAUGAAGGCUUCCACAAUCACUCAAGCAUAAACUAAGGUUCCUAAGAGUUUUCUCAACUUAUGGUUACGACGGCAUGAAUACACAGUCUGAGUAAAGAUACUGAAACCAAUACUAUUCACGUUUAUAUUUCUUAUGAAUCUGUUCUAGAGACCGAUUUUCAAAUGGUUAUUGUACUUAUGCUAUACUCAAUGUAAACUGAUUGACAAAUUUUGAACGAUUUAUGAUAUCCUGAGUCUGGAAUACUUCUCUAGCAUCUUAUUUUGUUCCAAGUGAGAAUCUCAUAUUAUUCAUAAAUUAGCAAAUCUUGGAAUAAACUCAUGUAUAAGCAGAAAAUUACCAGACCAACUCCCAAACCACUGAUGAACAUGAUUGCUUCUUACCAGCCUUGAACCUGUAUAGAGCAUAAUGAAGAAGUCAUACACAAGGAACAGAGAAGGCAUCACAUUUGAUGAUUUGAAUCAAAUACCUGUAAACGAGCCAUUGCAAAUAAUUACAGAGCGUCCAUAAACUAUGUAGCAUACCUUGAAUUUAGAUGGAGACCAAGCUACAUUACAGAGAUUCCUACAGGCAGUAUUUACACUCAAGACAGAAAAUCAUAUAUUUGACUCAAAAGGAAAAAUAUUAUCAACUUUUAUAAGGGAAGAAGCAUCGAUGCAAAUGGAAAUAUAUUUACCAAACAAAUUAUAUUUUCUCAUACACAUUCAUAUAACUGAUGACAUCUGAAUCUACUUCUUUCAAGUAGAAAAAAAGGACAGCUGCUUUCACAUCAAAACGACUUGCUCUUAAGCAGAGUGUGGAAACAAUGUAUAAGAUAAUAUGCUCUAAUGAAAUUGCUACUAUCACAAUCAUUUUGUUAUUUCAUCAGAAAAUAUCACAUCUGAAUUUCUUGUUAGUGGAACAAAGGAAGCAGAGCUGCUCAAAUCACCUUCUUGAUUGUGCCUACUAUCGAUUGUUAUACUCCACAAUGUAUCCAAGUUCUUUCUGGUUGCUUGUGGGUUUGAUACAAUGAUCGCCUUUGACUUGGAAGCUUGACAGUUAAUGGUUUUACCAGUACCACUGGCAAGUAACCAGCAGGAUCCAGACUCUUGUUGGGUCUUCGUGCACCACGGAUGGUCUACACCAGGCUCAGUUUUCAAACCCGCAAGACCAAUGUCGGUGAUUCUCCACAAAUGUGUAUCGUUUCCAAAGAAUUCUCCUUGAACCAAACUACACAGAGGUGGGUUUGAGGAAACCAGAGACCUUUCAACUUGGAUCAGAGCAAGCAUAGAUGCACCAACAGGUUCGUUAUAUCGAGAUAGAUCUCUAAGCAGCACUCUAAGAGCAAGUGUCAACUUGUUCCUAGAGGUAUCUUCAGUGUCUGAAUUUCUGUGGUCAAGCCUUAACCACUCAUCCAACGUUAACGAAAAGCUAAUCAACUCUAAAGCCUCAGAGUGAUCCAUGGGUUUGGCUGCAGUGACUGAUGGUGGAUCUUGGUCUGACAUGCUGCAUUGAAUCUUUAAUCCUUCUACCGAGAGAAUCUCUAUGCCAUCCAUAGCUAAGGAAGCAAGAGUGUCAAGAGGUACAUAACCUGAACACAUAUUGGAUCCAAAGGCCCCAAGAUUUUCUUUUGAAGAACAAUCAUGUACAUUUCUGCAAUUCAUAAACUAUAUCACUUUAGAAUAAACUUGAAAAAUAGAAAUAUUAUGCAUAACGAAUCAACAAUGGUAGAAAGCAUCUGAACCUCUCAAGUGUUGUGUCCUCGAUAACUUCAUGUAAUUUCUUCCCCACAAUAUCUUCCAAAGGCAUUAAUGCGUUAAUUUCAGAGCAAAGCCCUUCGAUUCCAGAAGCUGCCAAGCUUUGGAGUAUUUCAAGAACACCAGAGCCUAACUCUGGUACCAACACCACAGGAACUGAAACUUGCAUGAUCAGACGUGAAGCAUCCUUACACUUUCUGAACAGUAACGGACUCAUGGACCGGAUACACCCUCCUCCUUUUGUCCAAACAAAAGGACCAACAUUAUCUCCAAGUGGCCGCUCGUCAACUGGAAGCUCUAUUGGACUUCCAAACCCAUCAGAACAAACACAGAGAGAGUCGUUAAAACUGUUGUCAUCUAAAUCCCACUCUCGCAUUAAAGUUUCAGUUUCCAAGUCUUCAAGUUCCUUAGCAUUCCUUCUGCUUAUUAACAGCUGAGACUUUCCCUCACUCACAGAACUUGAGGAGAACGAGAAAUCAUUCGGUUCCUCAUCAAUAUCAGACACAUAUUCUAAUAGACAGUUACCAGAAGCGAGAGCCUCCUUCUCAAACUCACGGAGCAGAUACUCACGAGGAGAUGUAGGCUCACCAUCUGAGGUGUAAACAUAAGAAGAUUCCUCAAGUUCAAGCAUGUUUAGAAAAUCAUUAGCUACAGAUUCAGUAAUGUCAUCCAAGCUUCUUGACUUUGUUAAUACUUGUGCAGCUUUGUAACUAGAUUUAACUUCCAAGUCCUCAGUGGAAUCAUCGAUGGCUGAUGAAGAUUUAAUCUCAACUGAGUCAGAACUUUUUAGCUCCGCCACUGGUAACUGAUCAACAAAACAGGUUUCCUCUGCAUCUUCAUCUUCAUCUUUAAGUAACUCAUAGACAUCAAUAAUUUCAAUCUCCUUUGAAUCAGUUCUUUCUCCUACUUCUUUUCCAGUGUUCUUAGGGUCAUCUUCUU